rnacentral:rRNA from 1 species
GAGUUUGAUCGUGGCUCAGAUUGAACGCUGGCGGCAUGCCUUACACAUGCAAGUCGAACGGCAGCAUGAUCUAGCUUGCUAGAUUGAUGGCGAGUGGUGAACGGGUGAGUAAUACAUCGGAACGUGCCCUGUAGUGGGGGAUAACUAGUCGAAAGAUUAGCUAAUACCGCAUACGACCUGAGGGUGAAAGUGGGGGACCGCAAGGCCUCAUGCUAUAGGAGCGGCCGAUGUCUGAUUAGCUAGUUGGUGGGGUAAAGGCCCACCAAGGCGACGAUCAGUAGCUGGUCUGAGAGGACGAUCAGCCACACUGGGACUGAGACACGGCCCAGACUCCUACGGGAGGCAGCAGUGGGAAUUUUGGACAAUGGGCGAAAGCCUGAUCCAGCAAUGCCGCGUGUGUGAAGAAGGCCUCGG